GGAUGCGAUCAUACCAGCACUAAAGCACCGGAUCCAUCAGAACUCCGCAGUUAAGCGUGCUUGGGCGAGAGUAGUACUAGGAUGGGUGACCCCUGGGAAGUCCUCGUGUUGCAUCCC
rnacentral:rRNA from 1 species